rnacentral:lncRNA from 1 species
CCUUCCUUUUAUGGUCAUAAACCUUGUGUUUAAAUUUCAAAGAUUUCUAUUUACUUAUACUAAAGUUAUGGUGCGAAAACCAAAAAUAAUGCUUACUUGGGCCCCUUUUUGGCCCCUAAUUCCUAAACGGUUCAGACCUCAACUACCAAAAUCAAUCCCAACCUUCCUUUUGUGGUCAUAAACCUUGUGUUUAAAUUUCAUUGAUUUCUAUUUACUUAUACUAAAGUUAUUGUGCGAAAACCAAGAAUAAUGCUUAUUUGGGCCCUUUUUUGGCCCCUAAUUCCUAAACUGUUUGAAAUAAAACUCCCAAAAUCAAUCCCAACCUUCCUUUUGUGGUCAUAAACCUUGUGUCAAAAUUUCAUAGAUUUCUAUUCACUUAAACUAAAGUUAUAGUGCGAAAACCAAGAAAAUGCUUAUUUGGGCCCUUUUUGGCCCCUAAUUCCUAAAAUUUUGGGACCAAAACUCCCAAAAUCAAUCCCAACCUUCCUUUUGUGGUUAUAAACCUUGUGUUAAAAUUUCAUAGAUUUCUAUACACUUUUAC